AAUCUUGGACAAUGGGGGAAACCCUGAUCCAGCCAUGCCGCGUGAGUGAUGAAGGCCCUAGGGUUGUAAAACUCUUUCGGCGGGGACGAUAAUGACGGUACCCGCAGAAGAAGCUCCGGCUAACUUCGUGCCAGCAGCCGCGGUAAUACGAAGGGGGCUAGCGUUGUUCGGAAUUACUGGGCGUAAAGCGCACGUAGGCGGCUUCUUAAGUCAGGGGUGAAAGCCUGGAGCUCAACUCCAGAACUGCCUUUGAUACUGAGAAGCUUGAGUCCGGGAGAGGUGAGUGGAACUGCGAGUGUAGAGGUGAAAUUCGUAGAUAUUCGCAAGAACACCAGUGGCGAAGGCGGCUCACUGGCCCGGUACUGACGCUGAGGUGCGAAAGCGUGGGGAGCAAAC
rnacentral:rRNA from 1 species